GCCCAAAAACCCUAAUACUCAAAACACAAAUCCUAACCCCUCAGCUCCAAUACCCCACAUCUCUUAUGCUCUCCCCUCGAUUUUGUACUUUUAUGUUCUGUGAAUGUGUGAAUUGACGACUAUCUCAAUUUUUAUGAGGUUUGAGUUGAUUUUUCGAUCCAUGAUAGAUUUCCAAUUGCCCGGGCAGAAAUUUUGGUUUCCAAAUCGGCAAGCUGAGCAUGAAUCUUAUUUUCAGUUCAUCCUCGCGACUCUGCUUUGCCUCGUUUUGAAAGUGAUUCUGUUGAGGAAUUCAAUGGGUUGCAAGUUCAGCAAAUAAUUGCUAGUUGUAGAGGUUUUGGUUUCCGGUACAUUUGAUUAAACUGGGUUAGGGUUUGUGGAAUUUGGCUGGUAAUGUUGCUCAGUGCUCACUCUCAGAUUCUUUCAUUAAGGGUGGAUGCAUGGGCAUAUCGAUGGAUUCCGAGAGCAAAGAAAAUGCAAGACCAGAUGUUUCAAUCAUUAAAUAUAAUGGUUUUAAAAUAGGAUGAUAAUGAGUAUUCCCUUUCAAAAAUUUGGAGUAGAGACAUACAGUGUUGAGAAGGGAUUCACUCUCGGAUUACACUUUUUCUCUGAAUCCCUGUGUAUAAAUCCGACAUCUCCAGCUGCUUUCCAAUUCGAGAAGCCUCCAUCAAAGUCACCAUCUACUGUUACGCAAUAUCAGGUAUUCGACAUGUUUAAUUAAGAAGAUAGGUCACCAAUAUGUUUACUUUGACAGCUCAAGAGGAAGAAGGUCAACAAAACAAGAAACGGUUAUUGGUGAUUGCUCUGAUCACAAUUCCUAUGAUUAUGAUCCUACUGAGAACAAUGAUGUAUUUUCUAAAAAGGAGAGUAGUCAAGUCAAUUGGUAAUCUUCUUAAACUGUUAAUAUAUAUAUAUAUAUAUAUAUA